rnacentral:rRNA from 1 species
GGGCCCGCACAAGCGGAGGAGCAUGUGGUUUAAUUCGAUGAUACGCGAGGAACCUUACCAAGGCUUAAAUGGGAAACGACAGGACUGGAAACAGUUUUUUCUUCGGACGUUUUUCAAGGUGCUGCAUGGUUGUCGUCAGCUCGUGCCGUGAGGUGUCAGGUUAAGUCCUAUAACGAGCGCAACCCCUGUUGUUAGUUGCCAGCGAGUCAUGUCGGGAACUCUAGCAAGACUGCCAGUGCAAACUGUGAGGAAGGUGGGGAUGACGUCAAAUCAUCACGGCCCUUACGCCUUGGGCUACACACGUGCUACAAUGGACGGUACAGAGAGCAGCCACUACGCAAGUAGGAGCGAAUCUACAAAACCGUUCUCAGUUCGGAUCGGAGUCUGCAACUCGACUCCGUGAAGCUGGAUUCGCUAGUAAUCGCAGAUCAGCCAUGCUGCGGUGAAUACGUUCCCGGGCCUU